rnacentral:lncRNA from 1 species
AUGAAUUAUGGUGAUUUUCUAAAAUUAAGUGCUUUGUGCUGAAAUUGUAUUCGAGUUAUGCUGCGGAGUUGUGUUAAGUCUGAAUUUGAUCAGGAUUUAAGACUCAUUUUGGUUUGAAACUUUGUACUCUUGUUCUUCUAUAUGAGAACUAUUGAUCUGGAAAGUUUCAGCUUAUUCCAAUGUAAAUUAACAAGUAGGUGAUUUUUCAAAGUUUACCUUGCAGUUGGUAAAGUCCCAAAAUUUUAAGUAUGCUUCCUUGUUUUCUGUUGAGCUAAGUGUGUGUGUGUAUAAGCAUGUUGCUAGUGUAUAGAGAACCGUGCUACAUUCCAGAAUUACAAGGAUCAUUAGAAGCUUUCGUGGUGUGUGAUGAUACUAUGGGUGUCCAUAGUAGUUUGGUGUUUGAUUGUUAUAUUGUAAAGCUGAUGCCUGUUGCAUAUUUCAUGUGAUGUGUAUUUGGUAAAGCUGAUUACUGCUUCAGUUAUCAUGUUUUGAUGAUGUUAUAAUAGUUGCAUAUAUGACUUGUACAUAUUAUUCUUGAAUUGUAGGAAAAGUUGAAGGAACAAGGUGCUAUUGCCAAGACUUUGCAGAGCACUCAACAUCCGGACAUCCCACCGGAUCAGCUACCUCCUUUGGACUGGCCAACUCAACUAAGUGUUGUGCAAAACGCUAUGAGAGAAACAAAAGGGUCUUACUUUCGUGGUAUUGGACGAGCAGGCGUCCUAGAGAAGAGCAGAAGGUCAACAUCUUCCUCUUCAUGCUCUCGACCGAAUAAUGAGGCGAUGACAGAGAUAGUGGCUGCUAGAAAGGAGGCGGCUGAGGCACAAGAGAGGGCUGACAAAGCACAAGAGAAGGCUGAAAAAGCCCAGAAGAUCGCUAAGCAGUCUGUUGCAGAUUAUCAAGUGUUGAAGUUGCAAAUGGAUCAAAUCAUGGCUCGAAUAGGGCUACAGCCUAUGUGUUCACCCUCGGUCCCAAGCCAACAACCUCGAGACGACGAUGAUGAUAGGGGCCUUGACACUUCUCAGAUUAGUUUAGGAAAUCAGUAGACUUUUUUAGUUUAAAUAAUUGUACAAACAAUAUUAGCUAGUAUUUAUUUGGUUGGUACGAUAACUUUAUUAUUAUUAUUAGUAAUAUAAAUAUUUCGGUUAAUUUAUUUUGGUUUUACAGGAAUUAUUUAUAACUUACAUGAAUAUAUUUUUGAGUUAUUAUAAUAUCUCUCUCAGUAAUAAUAAAAACAUUUUUUUUUUUCAAAAAAACUAAAACCUAAGCGACGAAACUUUUUGUCUCUUAAGAUGCUUAUUUUGUCGCUUAAGAGUAAAAAUUAGGCGCCAAAAGUUGACAGGCCAAAAAAGUCUUUUGUCGCAUAAGGCUAUAGCGACGGAACCGUUCGUUGCUAAACCAAACAGGUUCGUCGCUUAACCGUAAAACGACAAGACAACAUACGUCGCUGAACAACUUAAGCGACAAAAUUUUUUGUCGCCUAAGUUAAUUAUUCGUCGCAUUAGAGGUAGCGACAAAAAAGGAUAGUCGCUAAACUAAUAAUUUUCGUCCCUUAACUGUAAAACGACAAAAAAAAUACGUCGCUGGAAAACUUAAGCGACGAAUAUAAUUCGUCGCUUAAGUUAAUUAUUCGUCGCCUGCAGGUCUGUGGCGACAUAAACAAACCCCGUCGCUUUGUUCGUUUUCUUAAGCGACGGAUUAUAUGUUUUUGUCGCUUAAGUACCUAUGAGACGCGUCAUAUGCGACGAAUCUUAAACGACGCCGGUUUCGUCGCUUAAGCUAUAAAGCGACAAAAAUGAGAACUUAGGCGACGAUUUUUUCCCGUCGCUUAAGUCUUUAUUUCUACUAGUGAGAUUAUGUAUGGAAGUACUCAAAUCAUUUUGUGAUAUGAACAACAAGAAGCUUUUGAUAAAAAAAUUAAAAAAAACAACAACAACAAGAAGUUGAAAUAAGUAUAUAUGUCUAAGUUGAAAUAGAGAGUACCAUCAUCAUCUACCUCUUCUUCUUCAAAGAAAAAAAAUUAUCAUACGAUGUAUGUCAUAACAUGUUGGAAAACUUAUGAUCAGAUUAUGUAUGGAAGUACUCAGAUCNNNNNNNNNNNNNNNNNNNNUCACAAGCUUGGGGGGAGAGACGUGAUUCCAGAAGAGCUUUUGCACAGGCGGGAUGAGUGGGAGUGGCUUUGCACGCAUUUUGAAUCGGACAAGUACAAGGUAUAAAUUAAGUUUUGGUUAUGAGAGUUUGGUGUUAUUUGAUAGGGUAGGUGAUUUGUGGUGAUUUUCCCUGGUAGGGAAGUUAGCUACCACUCAUUGUUAUAUCAAGAUAGCACAAUAGUGAUCAAUAUCAUUCUAGGAAAAUCUCAAUAUGUGUUUUUAGAAACAAUAAAUUGGCAUGGAUAUUUAUAUUAGUAGUAUCUUACCUGAUGAUGGAUUCUUUUGUUGGAUGUUAUGAUGGAUUCAUUUGUUGGAUGUUAUGCUGCCAUUUAGCUCAUGUACGACACCAAAAGAAUGAAUAUUCACAUGAGUUUAUGUAUAUAAUAUAUAUAUAUAUUUUUUUUGAGAAGAAACGAAAAAGAUGAGUUUAUGUAUAUUGUUUCCAGAAUACAAUCUGCACAGCUAUGGUGCUCAAUAUAGUGUAUGCAAACUGGGAGUACAACUUUCGUUUUGCAUUUCUCAUUUUCUCCCUCUGCAGGUACUUGACUGAUGAGGCUGCUGCACUUUUGCUUUACUCUUUAUUGCAAGGAAAUGAUGGUUUUGCUGUUGUUUACUUCUUCUUUUUUUCCUUGUAUAUAGCAGUAUUAGUUAAACUCAUAUCUGCAUUUCCUCCAUACAUGCAUAGUCUUAUAAUUGUACUCUACCAUGUCAAACUCAGUACCUCCCAGUAAGUAAUCUAGACUACCUGCAUACAUGUCAUUGCUUUGCUUUCUGUUUACUUGUUUCAUUUGCUGUGUAGUUUUGCUACUGUGUACUUGUGAUUUGAGUGGGAUUUAGGACUCUUAAUGACUUGAAAAUUUGUGCAGAGACGAUCGGUUGCGAACUCCAGCAACCGUGGUAAGAAAGAGUUAGAGCACCACUCAGGGAGGAAACCUAUCAUUUACCGGGUGGCCGAGCUAAGGGAUAAGGGUGCUUCAUUACCGGUGGUUGACGUGUACCCGGUGACAUACGACAUCAACAAGCCUAAAGCUGUUGAGCAUUAUGUAAGUAUCAAUACCUACUGCCUUAACAAAGUUUCUAUGCCACUUUGCCUGUUGUAUAUUUCAUGUGAUGUUCAUUUGGUAAUAAGUGUAGUUAAAUUAUAGUGAAUUGCUGAUAAGUGUUUUGUGCCGAAACUUUUGGUGUUAUGUGGUGUAGCUGUCUUGAGUUCGAAUUUCAUUAGGAUUGAGGACUCCGUUUGGCUUGAAACUUUGUACCCUUGUCCUUCCAUGUGAUUACCCUUGAUCUGGAAAGUUUGGUGUUGUUUGAUAAGGUAGAUGAUUCAUGGUGAAUUUUUGAAUUUGGGUACACUGCACUGGAAAUUGUGUUUGUGUUCAGCAGUUCAGUUGCUUCGUAUUUGAUUGGGUUUUGGGUCUUCGUUUGGCUUGAAAUUUUGUGCUCUUGUUCUUCCUUAUGUUUACUCUUGGUCUACAAAGUUUGGUGUUAUUUGAUAAGAUAGAUGAAUUAUGGUGAUUUUCUAAAAUUAAGUGCUUUGUGCUGAAAUUGUAUUCGAGUUAUGCUGCGGAGUUGUGUUAAGUCUGAAUUUGAUCAGGAUUUAAGACUCAUUUUGGUUUGAAACUUUGUACUCUUGUUCUUCUAUAUGAGAACUAUUGAUCUGGAAAGUUUCAGCUUAUUCCAAUGUAAAUUGACAAGUCGGUGAUUUUUCAAAGUUUCGUCGCUUAGGUUUUAGGAACUAUUAUUCUUGAAUUGUAGGAAAAGUUGAAGGAACAAGGUGCUAUUGCCAAGACUUUGCAGAGCACUCAACACCCGGACAUCCCACCGGAUCAGCUACCUCCUUUGGACUGGCCAACUCAACUAAGUGUUGUGCAAAACGCUAUGGGAGAAACAAAAGGGUCUUACCUUCGUGGUAUUGGACGAGCAGGCGUCCUAGAGAAGAGUAGAAGGUCAACAUCUUCCUCUUCAUGCUCUCGACCGAAUAAUGAGGCGAUGACAAAGAUAGUGGCUGCUAGAAAGGAGGCGGCUGAGGCACAAGAGAGGGCUGACAAAGCACAAGAGAAGGCUGAAAAAGCCCAGAAGAUCGCUGAGCAGUUUGUUGCAGAUUAUCAAGUGUUGAAGUUGCAAAUGGAUCAAAUCAUGGCUCGAAUAGGGCUACAGCCUAUGUGUUCACCCUCGGUCCCAAGCCAACAACCUCGAGACGACGAUGAUGAUAGGGGCCUUGACACUUCUCAGAUUAGUUUAGGAAAUCAGUAGACUUUUUUAGUUUAAAUAAUUGUACAAACAAUAUUAGCUAGUAUUUAUUUGGUUGGUACGAUAACUUUAUUAUUAUUAUUAUUAGUAAUAUAAAUAUUUCGGUUAAUUUAUUUUGGUUUUACAGGAAUUAUUUAUAACUUACAUGAAUAUAUUUUUGAGUUAUUAUAAUAUCUCUCUCAAUAAUAAUAAAAACUAUUUUUUUUUUCAAAAAAACUAAAACCUAAGCGACGAAACUUUUUGUCUCUUAAGAUGCUUAUUUUGUCGCUUAAGAGUAAAAAUUAGGCGCCAAAAGUUGACAGGCUAAAAAAGUCUUUUGUCGCAUAAGGCUAUAGCGACGGAACCGUUCAUCGCUAAACCAAACAGGUUCAUCGCUUAACCGUAAAACGACAACACAACAUACGUCGCUGAACAACUUAAGCGACAAAAAUUUUUGUCGCCUAAGUUAAUUCUUCGUCGCAUUAGAGGUAGCGACAAAAAAGGAUCGUCGCUAAACUAAUAAUUUUCGUCCCUUAACUGUAAAACGACAAAAAAAAUACGUCGUUGGAAAACUUAAGCGACGAAUAUAAUUCGUCGCUUAAGUUAAUUAUUCGUCGCCAGGUCUGUGGCGACAUAAACAAACCCCGUCGCUUUGUUCAUUUUCUUAAGCGACGGAUUAUAUGUUUUUGUCGCUUAAGUACCUAUGAGACGCGUCAUAUGCGAUGAAUCUUAAGCGACACCGGUUUCGUCGCUUAAGCUAUAAAGCGACAAAAAUGAGAACUUAGGCGACGAUUUUUUCCCGUCGCUUAAGUCUUUCUUUCUACUAGUGUAAUAGGCUUACUUGUCCUUUAAAUCCUGAUGCAAAAAGAAAAACUAUUGUUUCUACUAAUCAAAGUAAGUUAACUUUUCUCUUCUUUUUAUUUAUCAGAUCAUAUAGUGUUAUGAUAAUUACUAACACACACUUUUGUCUUUUGUAUUUGUAGAGAGUAAAAAUAUGCAAGAGACGCUCACAGUUUCGGACAAGGAAGAUUCAGACAAGGAGGAUUCAGACGAGGAGGAUUCAGACAACAACUAUGAAGAAUAAAUUUACCUCCCUAUUGAUUUUUUUUCCUUCCUUUUCGUGGCUACAAUUUCUUUUAGGGAGUUUUG